rnacentral:rRNA from 1 species
ACGGGUGAGUAACGCGUAUCCAACCUUCCGCUUACUCGGGGAUAGCCUUUCGAAAGAAAGAUUAAUACCCGAUUGUAUCUUAAGCACGCAUGAGAUUAAGAUUAAAGAUUUAUCGGUAAGCGAUGGGGAUGCGUUCCAUUAGGCAGUUGGCGGGGUAACGGCCCACCAAACCUACGAUGGAUAGGGGUUCUGAGAGGAAGGUCCCCCACAUUGGAACUGAGACACGGUCCAAACUCCUACGGGAGGCAGCAGUGAGGAAUAUUGGUCAAUGGGCGAGAGCCUGAACCAGCCAAGUAGCGUGAAGGAUGACGGCCCUACGGGUUGUAAACUUCUUUUGUGCGGGAAUAAAGGAGCCUACGUGUAGGCUUUUGCAUGUACCGUAACGAAUAAGCAUCAGCUAACUCCGUGCCAGCAGCCGCGGUAAUACGGAGGAUGCGAGCGUUAUCCGGAUUUAUUGGGUUUAAAGGGAGCGUAGACGGGUUUUUAAGUCAGCUGUGAAAGUUUGGGGCUCAACCUUAAAAUUGCAGUUGAAACUGGAGACCUUGAGUACGGUUGAGGCAGGCGGAAUUCGUGGUGUAGCGGUGAAAUGCUUAGAUAUCACGAAGAA